rnacentral:rRNA from 1 species
AACGAACGCUGGCGGCAGGCUUAACACAUGCAAGUCGAACGCGUGUAGCAAUACACGAGUGGCGCACGGGUGAGUAACACGUGGAUAUCUGCCUUUUGGUUCGGAAUAACUCCGGGAAACUGGAGCUAAUACCGGAUGGUUCCUUCGGGAUAAAGAUUUAUCGCCAAAAGAUGAGUCCGCGCACGAUUAGCUAGUUGGUGAGGUAAUGGCUCACCAAGGCGACGAUCGUUAGCUGGUCUGAGAGGACGAUCAGCCACACUGGGACUGAGACACGGCCCAGACUCCUACGGGAGGCAGCAGUGGGGAAUAUUGGACAAUGGGGGCAACCCUGAUCCAGCCAUGCCGCGUGAGUGAUGAAGGCCUUCGGGUUGUAAAGCUCUUUUGGCGGGGACGAUGAUGACGGUACCCGCAGAAUAAGCCCCGGCUAACUUCGUGCCAGCAGCCGCCGUAAGAC